rnacentral:rRNA from 1 species
GAUCCUGGCUCAGGAUGAACGCUGGCGGCGUGCCUAACACAUGCAAGUCGAACGAAGCACCUUUUGAGAUUCUUCGGAUGAUCGAUUGGUGACUGAGUGGCGGACGGGUGAGUAACGCGUGGGUAACCUGCCCUGUACAGGGGGAUAACAGCUGGAAACGGCUGCUAAUACCGCAUAAGCGCACGAGGAGACAUCUCCUUGUGUGAAAAACUCCGGUGGUACAGGAUGGGCCCGCGUCUGAUUAGCUGGUUGGCAGGGUAACGGCCUACCAAGGCAACGAUCAGUAGCCGGUCUGAGAGGAUGAACGGCCACAUUGGAACUGAGACACGGUCCAAACUCCUACGGGAGGCAGCAGUGGGGAAUAUUGCACAAUGGGGGAAACCCUGAUGCAGCAACGCCGCGUGAGUGAAGAAGUAUUUCGGUAUGUAAAGCUCUAUCAGCAGGGAAGAUAAUGACGGUACCUGACUAAGAAGCUCCGGCUAAAUACGUGCCAGCAGCCGCGGUAAUACGUAUGGAGCAAGCGUUAUCCGGAUUUACUGGGUGUAAAGGGUGCGUAGGUGGCAGUGCAAGUCAGAUGUGAAAGGCCGGGGCUCAACCCCGGAGCUGCAUUUGAAACUGCUCGGCUAGAGUACAGGAGAGGCAGGCGGAAUUCCUAGUGUAGCGGUGAAAUGCGUAGAUAUUAGGAGGAACACCAGUGGCGAAGGCGGCCUGCUGGACUGUUACUGACACUGAGGCACGAAAGCGUGGGGAGCAAACAGGAUUAGAUACCCUGGUAGUCCACGCCGUAAAC